UGUGUGUUUAGAGUGAUAGAGAAAUGGUUGUGUGUAUGCGUGGAGAAACAGGAUGUAGACGAUUAAAAAAAAACAUAGGAGAAGAGAAGGAAGUAGAGAAUUACCAGUGACUAAAAGAAAAAAAAGAAAGAGAAAACAAGUAGAUAAGGAGAGAAAAACAGACUAUUCCAUCUCAUAUCAGGAUGAAUUCCAUUUUUGAUUACUUCAGUCGUAGAUUACGCUAACUUGAAAAUUUGAUAACAACGAACUAACAAAGGAGCCUCCAAAUGCCAGCAGACGUGAGAGAAUGUUUUUAGUACUAUGGAGUGAAUGACAUUAAUAAGAAAAUUUGCUAUGGAUCUUUGAAGACCGAAAUUUUAGGUAAUUUAAAAAAAAUAAGAGGCCUCCAUUAUGGACAUACCGGAAAUCACAAUUGCCGUGUGUUUCGCGGUAAUCAAAGUUCUCAUAGAAAAUAAACCAAUGCAGACCACGAGGAGCGGCUAGAGUCUGUGAACUCGGAAAAUGGGACCAACAUGAAACAAGUGGGAAGCACUUGUUACCUUAAACAAGUAAAUGUACGGCGCCGCGAAUUUAUGUGAUGGCGCAGAUAUGAGAAUUUUGACCUCCAGCGAAAAAUGUUGCCGUACAUCACACAAUCUCAUUGUUGAUUUGCUUUCUUUCAUUUCAGAACGUUUCCUUAGAUUUUUCAUCUUUGAAGAUUUCAUUGAAUUCUCUUCGUUUAUAUUUUACUUGCUUCAGACAUUGGACUGCGGCCAUGCUGAGGCACUGCCCUUAAGGAUU